GCCAGAGAGAAAAGCCCUGUUUAAAUUAGACUAAAACCAGAAGCUGGCUCUGAAUUGCGAAGGGGAUUCUCUUGGAAAGAAGCCACGACUGAAAGCGUGAAGACAAACACCUUCGCGGCCAAGAGUGAAACCCCUGCCAGAAACAGUGGUCUACACGGAGUGCUAGCUGCAUACAUUCGGAGGAUGCUGACAAAUUGGGAACCAGAGGAUAGAACUUCCUGAAAAUUUUACAUACGAAUGAGUGUCCUCCUGGAUUUCACAGACUCAUGCCCUUUUCCUGCCCCUGCCUCUGUCACACCUGGUCCUGGACCUGGCUGAAGCAUCGGUCUGGUGGCUGAACAAUGGUGACACAAGAUUUCCUCCUCACAACCAGCACAUGCCCACUUGCCCGGAUACUAUGGCUCUGCUGCAUGGAGAUUUAUGACUUUUCCUAUUAAGCGUUGUCAAAAAAAUCAAUAGCCAUGCCCGAAUAAGGAGGAGGAAAUCCGACCACUUCAGAACAAUAAUGGGACCCAGCAAGUUCUUCAAACAGUGACAUAAAU